rnacentral:lncRNA from 1 species
GGCCUGACUGUCCUGUCAACUGUCUCUUUGGUUCCUAUCUUAUCUACCUGCCAAGACCCUACUCUCUCCUGUGAAUCUCUUUUCUUCGUCAGACACCUUGCAUCACAGAUAGUUGGAGAUGAAAAGGACCUUAGAAACCAUGAGAAACACCAUGGGCCAGGAGAAUGGGGAGCUCUGGAGCCAUAAACCUGGCUUCAGGUCCCAGUUCUGCCACUCACCAGCUGGGUGGCCAAGGACAGCAUUUUUCAGAGAACAGGAGGGAGCUGCUUCCUUAAGUAUCGCCUGGGAUCACAUUCAGACUGGAGAUGUUGCCAGAAGCAAAUCCACCUCAGUGGGGAUUCUGGUUGACCCAGGAGACCCUCUGCUCCUGAGGGAACUACUGAGGGGCUUGGGCUAUGACUCCAGGACCAAGAGUUUUGGGAGAGACUUUCCUUCCCUGGACAAGGAAAAGGAAGUGGAGCUACCAGCUGCUGCUCUGGGAGGCUAGAGGCUCAUCUCUCUACCAUGCACCCUUUCCAAAGCUCUGUUCUCUGAGGGCUUCUGGAAAUACCCGCUUUAAUCAGAGUUAAGCCGGAUUUGAAAGUUGAGAUGAUUAGAUGUGUCAAAAAAAUUUUACAGUCUAAUAACACCCAACGCUGUCAAGAAUGUGGAAAAAAAGAGACAUGUAUGCAUUGUUGAUGUGAGUGUCAAUUGGUAUCCAUUUUUUGGAGGGAGUUUGCUAGUAUCAUUAGAAUGUGAAAUAGAUAUGCUCUCAGACUCAACAUUUCCACUUCUAAGAGUCAAUUCUAGAGAAAUAUGUGCACAUAGACACAAAGAGUCGGGCAUGAAGAUGUUUGCAGAAAUGUUGUUUGCAACUGCAAAAAACAGUAAAAUAAAAAGCCACCAAAUCAA